GCCAUUGUAGUAUAGUGGUAAGUACAGCUCGUUGUGGCCGAGCAGACCCAGAUUCGAUUUCUGGCAAUGGCA
rfam:Lodderomyces elongisporus NRRL YB-4239 supercont1.4 genomic scaffold, whole genome shotgun sequence.